rnacentral:lncRNA from 1 species
GGGCAAGUGGCCUUGGUCCCUCCGGGGAUGCAGGCUGCAGAGGCAAGUAAAAGCAACAGGGCAAAUGGAAGUGACAUUUGGUGUUCUGACUGGAACAGGGAUUUGUCUGGCAAUGAGAUCGUGUCCAUUGAGGAACGUGCUUUUGAGCCACUGCCUUUCCUGAAGCUUCUGUGAGUGAUAAAGUUUCCUCCUGGGGUUUUUAGUGAAGUCUUUGCAUUGGGCACCCUUCCUGUGUCGGAAAAUGCUCCUGUUCUUUUCCCAGCAGUCCCUAAAUCUGCCCUGCUCAGGGCCCAGCUGAGCUGCAGAGGUCAGUGCCGAUGGCUGGAGGGCCACGCCGGGGGCACAGACCCCAGCAGGGUCGUCCACACGCAGCCAUCAGAGCAGCCAGUUCUUGCAGGCUCGGCUGCAUGCUGGCACAGAAAUAGAGUCAGCCCUUGGGCCCUUCCCUUCCCCUCCUGGGCAGGCUACAAACACUGAGAAAGCAGCAGCCUCCCCCCUCUUCCACCUUGCAUUUGCACCUUUCCUGCCAAGGGAUCCCGCUUCAGCCCCUCUUCCUGUGGGACAGGCCCGAUUCCGUUGUGUGACCUCCUCUUUCCCCAGAAACCUCUCCGGGAAUGGCCUCACGCAGAUCCGCAGCGGCACUUUCCAGGCCUGGCACGGGAUGCAGUUUCUCCAGGAGCUCCAAGUGCCCAAGGAUGUGGCCUGCUGCCUGUGCCAGGAGCGUCCCCUCGCCGAGAGCCCGUGCAGGACCAUCCAGUUCCUCUGCGAGAAGCUGUGCAGCACCAGCGCCCCGCAGUGCGGUUGGUGUCCGGAGGGGCUUGGGGGGAGCUCACAUCUGCCACUUCUCUUGAGCCUGGGGAGGUGCUGCAGCACUGCCCCGUGCUGGGGCUCCUGGCCUCCCCUUGGAGUCCAGGACUUGCACAAAACACCUUGGGUUGAAAAGUUCCUGGGCAUUACUCAUAUCUUGUGUGUCAAAUACUGUCUGGAGAAGGAACAGCUCACUGGGCCACCCCACUGCCACGUGCAGGAGAGAGGGCAGGGACCCCGAUGUGCUCUGCAGGGUGAACACCGAGCACCGUUAUUCCCUCCUUGGCCUGUGCAGGGGGAGCAAAGCACUGUCCUGCUCUAGCUGGGCACAGGGGAGGGAACCUCCUCUCCACAGCAGGGCCUGGCUGGACUUCUGCAAACAGACACAGCCAGGUUUCCAGGCUCCCCAGGAAGCUCCUUUCUCUCACUGCCUCAGCCCCACGUUUCCCACGGCACAGUCCCAGAGCUCCGGUGCCCUUCAGGAAGUUUU